GGGUGCGAUCAUACCAACAUUAAUGCACCAUAUCCCAUCAGAACUUUGUAGUUAAGUGCACUUGGGAUAGAUUAGUACUCAGAUGGGUGACCUCCCAGGAAGUCUUAGUGUUGCACCCU
rnacentral:rRNA from 1 species